AGCUCUUUUAUUUGGAACCCUAAUGUCUGCUUCUGCAUAUUCAUCUCUGUCACUGACUUACACCUCCGCUCCCAAAAACACUUUGCUAAGACAGGUGAAGAGAUAAGCAAAGAUGUAUCUCCAGUUUUAUAUUAACGAAAAUGGUGACAAAGUACCACUAAG